GCAUAAAUAGUAUAUAAAAUAUAUUAGAUUUAGGUUCUAAAGAAGUAUAGUUAUGUU
rnacentral:tRNA from 1 species